rnacentral:rRNA from 1 species
CAGUCGCCACGGUAAUACGAAGGGUGCAAGCGUUACUCGGAAUUACUGGGCGUAAAGCGUGCGUAGGUGGUGGUUUAAGUCCGUUGUGAAAGCCCUGGGCUCAACCUGGGAAUUGCAGUGGAUACUGGGUCACUAGAGUGUGGUAGAGGAUAGUGGAAUUUCCGGUGUAGCAGUGAAAUGCGUAGAGAUCGGAAGGAACAUCUGUGACGAAGGCGACUAUCUGGGCCAACACUGACACUGAGGCACGAAAGCGUGGGGAGCAAACAGGAUUAGAUACCCCCGUAGUCCCUGUCUCUUAUAC